rnacentral:rRNA from 1 species
AUUGAACGCUGGCGGCAGGCCUAACACAUGCAAGUCGAACGGUAACAGGAAGAAGCUUGCUUCUUUGCUGACGAGUGGCGGACGGGUGAGUAAUGUCUGGGACACUGCCUGAUGGAGGGGGAUAACUACUGGAAACGGUAGCUAAUAACGCCUAACGUCGCAAGACCAAGGAGGGGGACCUUCGGGCCUCUUGCCAUCGGAUGUGCCCAGAUGGGAUUAGCUUGUUGGUGGGGUAACGGCUCACCAAGGCGACGAUCCCUAGCUGGUCUGAGAGGAUGACCAGCCACACUGGAACUGAGACACGGUCCAGACUCCUACGGGAGGCAGCAGUGGGGAAUAUUGCACAAUGGGCGCAAGCCUGAUGCAGCCAUGCCGCGUGUAUGAAGAAGGCCUUCGGGUUGUAAAGUACUUUCAGCGGGGAGGAAGGGAGUAAAGUUAAUACCUUUGCUCAUUGACGUUACCCGCAGAAGAAGCACCGGCUAACUACGUG